CAGCAGCCACGGUAAUACGUAGGUCCCGAGCGUUGUCCGGAUUUAUGGGCGUAAAGCGAGCGCAGGCGGUUAGAUAAGUCUGAAGUUAAAGGCUGUGGCUUAACCAUAGUACGCUUUGGAAACUGUUUAACUUGAGUGCAGAAGGGGAGAGUGGAAUUCCAUGUGUAGCGGUGAAAUGCGUAGAUAUGUGGAGGAACACCGGUGGCGAAAGCGGCUCUCUGGUCUGUAACUGACGCUGAGGCUCGAAAGCGUGGGGAGCAAACAGGAUUAGAUACCCCCGUAGUCCCUGUCUCUUAUACAC
rnacentral:rRNA from 1 species